rnacentral:rRNA from 1 species
UACGUAGGGCGCAAGCGUUGUCCGGAAUUAUUGGGCGUAAAGGGCUCGUAGGCGGUUUGUCGCGUCGGGGAGUGAAAACUCAGGGCUUAACCCUGAGCCUGCUUCCGAUACGGGCAGACUAGAGGUAUGCAGGGGAGAACGGAAUUCCUGGUGUAGCGGUGAAAUGCGUAGAUAUCUGGAGGAACACCGGUGGCGAAGGCGGCAUUCUGGACCGACAUUGACGCUGAGGAGCGAAAGCCAGGGGGAGCAAACGGG